CAAUAGCGUAUAUUAAAGUUGUUGCAGUUAAAAAGCUCGUAGUUGGACUUGUGGCGUACGGUGUGUUCCGGGCACUUGUUGUCUGAGUAACCUGCUGUUGCCAUCCUUGGGUGGAACCUGUGUGGCAUUAGGUUGUCGUGCAGGGGAUGCCCAUCAUUUACUGUGAAAAAAUUAGAGUGUUCAAAGCAGGCUUAUGCCGUUGAAUAUAUUAGCAUGGAAUAAUAAGAUAGGACUUUGGUACUAUUUUGUUGGUUUGCGCACCAAAGUAAUGAUUAAUAGGGACAGUUGGGGGUAUUCGUAUUCCGUUGUCAGAGGUGAAAUUCUUGGAUUUACGGAAGACGAACUACUGCGAAAGCAUUUACCAAGGAUGUUUUCAUUAA
rnacentral:rRNA from 1 species